CUACCCCAGCUGCCCAACCCAACCUUUCUUCUUUUGAGUUCUUUCGGUAACCUCUUCUCCCGAGCCCAGCUUUGAAAGCAUUUGAGUUGUAUUCAAAAUGUGGUAGCAUACACUCGGACCCCAGCUGCCCAACCUUUCUUCUUUGAGUUCUUUCGGUAGCCUCCUCAAGUCCUCCUCUUCCCCCAGCGAAAGCUGCGAAACCAUGGUUCAUGCUUGCCUCUCUCAUUCCUCUGAAUCUCUGAUUAACUCGAAGUGCCAUAAUUGAUUCAAUUGAAUGCACGGUUCAAAUGCUCAACCUGGAUCCCAAUAUUUAAUAUAUAAUGAUGUUGAUGAGAACAAAUGUUCGAGUCCAUUGUUAGAAUAGCUGAAAUCUACUGCUUUCGAAGCUGCUGUUAGAGUAUAAUGUCAAAUCAUGAGCCGAAACCGAAGCGAUCAAAAUUCAUACAUACAUGGUUUCAAAGAAUGAAUGUUGAGUCUUCAAGUUCAAAUGUGGUUUCUGAACCUUCCAUAUCCUCUCCAAAUAUUGAUCUUGAACUUCCACUUUCCAUUCCUGAACCAAAUAUUGAUGUUGAACCUCCACCUUCCAUUCCUAAACCACAAAAUAAUAUCAAUGCUCUUGAACGUGAUCCUGGAUUACGUUGUGCCAUAUGGAAAUAUCCAGUGAAUGAGCGUGAUAGUAUUCGAAAAGCCUAUGUCUUGUUGGGUCCAUUUCAACCCAAGUUAACAUUUCCAUUCAUCAAACAAGGGAGUCAACAACGUAAAUUUCAGUUUUCUUGGUUCAAGGAUAAUCCAUGGCUAGAAUAUUCAAUUUCUCUUGAUAGGGCAUAUUGCUUCCCUUGUUUUCUAUUUGACACUGAAAAUUCUCGCCAUCAUGCAUUCACCGUUGAUGGGUUUAAAAAUUGGAAGAGGGUUUGUGGUGUUGAUAAUAUGUUGAUGAAGCACGUAGGAGGCCUUAAUUCUCCCCAUCAUGCUGCAAUGCACAAAUGGGAUUUAUUAAGAAAUCCUACCAAACAAAUUGAAACAUUUUUUCAGUCAAAAUCUUUGAAAGAUGUGGAAGACAAUCUUUGAAAUAGUUUUUCAAUCAAAAUCAAUAGAAAGUGUAAGGUUGUCUAGUUUUGACUAUUUAUGCUUCUACGGCGACCGCUGAAAGAGCAUUUUCAGCUAUGAACAUCAUCAAGAAUAAACUUAGAAACAAGAUGGAAGAUCAGUUUCUUGGUGAUUGUAUGGCCCUUCACGUUGAGAAGGAAUAUGCUGAAUCUAUUGACAAUGAGUCGGUGAUCCAAGAGUUUGAAGCUAGUGGGACUAGUAGAGAUUUAGUUAGUUUAUGUCCUUGUAUUGCAUUGCACGUUUAUUUUGUUGUUGAUUGUGUUUUUUAGUUUUGUAUUGAUAUGCUAGGUGUAUCUUUUUUUUAAUUAAUGAAAUUCUCUCGCACCGUCGAGAUUCUCUA